rnacentral:rRNA from 1 species
UCGGGAAUUUUGGGCAAUGGGGGAAACCCUGACCCAGCAACGCCGCGUGAAGGAUGAAGUAUUUCGGUAUGUAAACUUCGAAAGAAUAGGAAGAAUAAAUGACGGUACUAUUUAUAAGGUCCGGCUAACUACGUGCCAGCAGCCGCGGUAAUACGUAGGGACCAAGCGUUGUUCGGAUUUACUGGGCGUAAAGGGCGCGUAGGCGGCAAUUCAAGUCAUCUGUGAAAUCUCCGGGCUUAACUCGGAACGGUCAGAUGAUACUGCUUUGCUAGAGUGCAGAAGGGGCAAUCGGAAUUCUUGGUGUAGCGGUGAAAUGCGUAGAUAUCAAGAGGAACACCUGAGGUGAAGACGGGUUGCUGGGCUGACACUGACGCUGAGGCGCGAAAGCGUGGGGAGCAAACAGGAUUAGAUACCCUUGUAGUCCCUGAGCGGGCUGGCAAGGCGCAU